ACUAAAGCAUAGAAGGAAGGCUAAAAUAAGAAUUCAGAAACUAUAAACCGGCUCUCUUCUAGCUUACGACACAAACUAUGAGUGAGAAAAGGACAAAUGAUUCGCUCUUUGCUUCAUUUUUUCCGAGGUUGUCACAACAUGAAAUGUCAUUUGGACCUAUUGGACUCAUUUUAACUCGGCCAAAUACAUAGUAACAUACAUAAGAAGAUUUUACUUAUAUUUACCGAACUAUUUGACACGGUCGCGUCAACUGUGUUUACGAGUGUCUUGUGUUCAGAUUGUUUUAAGUGAUAAUUUAACAAUAUUUUUCCAAAUAAAUGGAAAGAAACUUUUAUUUAUAUCAAAUAAUUGAGUGUCUCGACUGUGUGACAUUAUGUCUUGUGUGGUAUGGGGCUGCAGCUCACAUUCAGGAAGAAAAGAAAAUAGCCAACAACUUCUGUCGUUUCAUCGAUAUUAAAUCCAAAAGUGUCGACUGGAUUUACAUGAAAAGUCAGUUCAAGAAGACGAGAUGAAAAAUUUAAAAGAAAAGCUGAACAAGUCCCGCCUCAAGAUCAAACGACUUAAUGAAAAAAAAACAAUGUGUCAGGGUGUCACAAAGACAGUUUCUAAGCAAAUUGACACUGUUUAGAAAUUAAUAAAUUUGUAUUUAUUGUAAAUAUAAUGUACAUAAUUAAUAACGUGUGAAAUAAAUACUUGCUAAUGAAAAUGAACAGAUUUACGAUCUAAUUUAUAUUUCAUUUUACCUCCUGUUCUU